GAGGUGUCGCGCGUCAUCGGCGCGCGCGGUGCCCGGUGGUGCGGGAGUGGGCCCGGUCCGUGCUUUGCCGCCGCCAUGAGCCAGUUCAGCUUCGGGACGGGCGGCGGCUUCACCCUGGGCACGCCCGGCACCGCCGCCACCACGACCGCCACCGGCUUCUCCUUCUCGUCAUCCGCGACCUCGGGGGCCUUCAGCUUCGGGAGCGCGGGGCAGCCGGCCGCCGGCAGCCAGGCCUCCGGGCCGUUCUCCUUCAGCAGGCCUGCGGCCACCGCCGCGCAGCCCGCCGGCUUCAGCUUCGGGACGGCGGCCACGGGCAGCGCGGCUCCGGCAGCGAGCGUGUUCCAGCUGGGGACAAAUGCACCCAAAUUAAGCUUUGGAGGCAGUACUGCAACUCCAGCCACGGGAAUCACGGGGGGCUUUGCGUUUGGUAGCUCUGCACCGAGCAGCACGCCCUCAAGUCAAGCAGCAGCUCCUUCUGGCUUUGCGUUUGGAUCCGCUGGCACAAGCACCACCGCUCAGUCUGGGACAACUGGAGGCUUUACCUUCUCCAGCGGCACCACGACUCAGGCCGGAGCAGCCAGCUUGAGCAUCGGCGCUGCAGCGCCGCAGCCAGCACCCACGGGGCUGAGCUUUGGAGCAGCACCUGCAGCUGCUGCCACCUCUGCUGCCAGCUUGGGAGCUACAACCCAGUCUGCAGCCCCCUUCAGCCUGGGGGGGCAGAGCACAGGCCUCAACUUUGGGUCAUUAACUUCUACUGCAGCCGCUAGUGCACCCACGGCCACAGUGAGCACAAGUACCAGCUCGGGACCCACUCUGUCUUUUGGAGCCAAACUUGGAGGUAGGAAGUGAUUUUUGGGGAGUAAUUGCUCAAGGCUUUGUGAAUGUGCUGUUCCUUCUGGGAACAGUUUUCUAAAGUGGGCUCUGGAAACGGGCUGGAGCUGUUUGUUACUGUGAAUUUGCAGUGGUGUCAGUAAACUGUGGCAGUUGAUACAGUCAUUGCGUUUUGUAUCCUCUGUAUUUUUAUUGGGUCCCAUGUGCUAAAGUCUGUUCCAUACGUGUUGCUGGGGUGUAGCGGAGGGGAGCCACAGGUGUAAUGGGUACGCUGAGAAAACAGAGUUGAGGUUUUUCCACCUCAAAAAAUGCCCUAGCAUUCUUUUACCCAUAAAAAGCCUGGUAUAGAUGUUCAGUUUUGUGUCUGUCCCAUUCUGAACAUGAGUCUUCUGAAAAGGGUGAGAGCAUGAUGUGCUUUGGUUGUACAAGAUGGAUGCUUUUUCUGUUCGUAGUAACAUCCACAGCUGCUACAACCGCCUCUACCAGCACAACCUCUGUUCUUGGUUCAACGGGGCCAACUUUAUUUGCAUCUGUAGCGAGUUCUGCAGCCGCAGCCCCAGCACCAUCUACCAGCACAGGCCUCUCACGUAAGUCGCGAUAUACGGAUGUUAUGAACUGGAGGAAUAACUGAGCAGCAGGGUUGCUGUUCCUGUGAGUAGUUGAGCUGCAGAUGCUGGGGUAAUACGGGAGGAUUCGAAGGGCAGCUCUUCUUGCUAUUUGUUACCUUUCCUCUUUGUGUCCACACUUCUUUAAGAGUCGUGGGCUGACAGUGGAGACAGUGUGCUAAAACUGAGUAUUCACAUGGCUGUAUGUGUGCAAGCUCCUCUGGUAGUAACUGGCAAGUUUUGUCUUGCAAUAUUGUUUCUAUGAGAGCAAAUAGUGUUUGUUUUCUGAUAGCUUUAAGGCAGUAGCCCAGGUUUGAAGACAGUCCCAACAGCUUGCUUUCUCAGCCUGCAAUAGGAUGUUAACAUUUCAGUUCCCUUUGAUUAUGGAGACUCUGUACAGUGAAGGUCGGUGUUGACUAGAGUUAGUACCUCUAUUCCAUAUAGAACGCUGUCUUACUGUGCCUCUAGCAUUUAGCAGCUCCCAAGGAUCUUCACCAGUUUUCUGUGAAAGCCACAGGGAUUACUUGCGACUAGUCACCUGCAA
ensembl:lncRNA